GGACACUUAGCUCAGUGGCAGAGCACUUCAUUCACAUUGAAGGGGUCGCAGGUUCAAAUCCUGCAGUGUCCACCG
rnacentral:tRNA from 2 species